rnacentral:rRNA from 1 species
UACGAAGGGUGCAAGCGUUAAUCGGAAUUACUGGGCGUAAAGCGUGCGUAGGUGGUUUGUUAAGUCUGCUGUGAAAGCCCUGGGCUCAACCUGGGAAUGGCGGUGGAUACUGACAAGCUAGAGUGCGGUAGGGGAGCAUGGAAUUCCUGGUGUAGCGGUGAAAUGCGCAGAUAUCAGGAGGAACACCAGUGGCGAAGGCGGUGCUCUGGGCCGGAACUGACGCUGAGGAGCGAAAGCGUGGGGAGCAAACAGG